rnacentral:rRNA from 1 species
UACGGGGGGGGCUAGCGUUGCUCGGAAUGACUGGGCGUAAAGGGCGCGUAGGCGGCUUGCACCGUCAGAUGUGAAAUUCCCGGGCUUAACCUGGGGGCUGCGUUUGAUACGUGCGGGCUUGAGUUCGGAAGAGGGUCGUGGAAUUCCCAGUGUAGAGGUGAAAUUCGUAGAUAUUGGGAAGAACACCGGUGGCGAAGGCGGCGACCUGGUCCGAUACUGACGCUGAGGCGCGAAGGCCAGGGGAGCAAACGGG